GAAAUGUGAUAAGUAGUGUGAAUUGCAGAAUUCAGUGAAUCAUCGAAUCUUUGAACGCACAUUGCGCCCCUUGGUAUUCCAUGGGGCAUGUCUGUUCGAGCGUCAUUUGUACCCUCAAGCUCUGCUUGGUGUUGGGUGUUUGUCCCGUCUCCGCGCGUGGACUCGCCCCAAAGUGAUUGGCAGCCGGCGUACUGGUCCCGGAGCGCAGCACAUGUCGCGCAAACGAGUGCCUUGGUACGGCGGCGUCCAUAAGCCCCUCUCUCACGCUCUUGACCUCGGAUCAGGUAGGGAUACCCGCUGAACUUAAGC
rnacentral:misc_RNA from 1 species